GAGUUUGAUCCUGGCUCAGAACGAACGCUGGCGGCAUGCCUAACACAUGCAAGUCGAACGAGACCUUCGGGUCUAGUGGCGCACGGGUGCGUAACGCGUGGGAAUCUGCCCUUGGGUACGGAAUAACUCACCGAAAGGUGUGCUAAUACCGUAUGAUGACGUAAGUCCAAAGAUUUAUCGCCUGAGGAUGAGCCCGCGUAGGAUUAGCUAGUUGGUGGGGUAAAGGCCCACCAAGGCGACGAUCCUUAGCUGGUCUGAGAGGAUGAUCAGCCACACUGGGACUGAGACACGGCCCAGACUCCUACGGGAGGCAGCAGUGGGAUAUUGGACAAUGGGCGCGAAGCCUGAUCCAGCGAACUGCCGCGUGAGUGAUGAAGGCCUUAGGGUUGUAAAGCUCUUUUACCCGGAGAUAAUGACUGUACCGGAGAAUAAGCCCCGGCUAACUCCGUGCCAGCAGCCGCCGCAGUAAG
rnacentral:rRNA from 1 species